GACGAACGCUGGCGGCGUGCUUAACACAUGCAAGUCGAACGGAAAGGCAGUGAUGUUGUGGGCUUCGCGAGUGGGGAGCGGGUGGGUAACACAUGUGUAACCUCCCCCCGACUUUGGGAGAACAUCAGGAAACUGGAGCUACUACCGCAUAGGAGCCCCUGCUGCGUGGUGGGGGUGGGAAAGUUGCGGCGGGUGGGGAUGGACGCGCGGCUUAUCAGCUCGUUGGUGGGGUAGAGGCUUACCAAGGCGUAGCGGGGUAUCCGGCCUGAGAGGGUGACCGGCCACAUUGGGACUGAGAGACGGCCCAGACUCCUACGGGAGGCAGCAGUGGGGAAUAUUGCACAAUGGGCGCAAGCCUGAUGCAGCAACGCCGCGUGCGGGAUGACGGCCUUCGGGUUGUAAACCGCUUUUGGCUGGGACGAAGCGUGAGUGACGGUACCUGGUGAAGAAGCACCGGCUAACUACGUG
rnacentral:rRNA from 1 species